rnacentral:rRNA from 1 species
GAUGAACGCUGGCGGCGUGCCUAAUACAUGCAAGUCGAACGCGAGAGGAGGGAGCUUGCUCCCUCUGAUCGAGUGGCGGACGGGUGAGUAACACGUAGGCAACCUGCCCAUCAGCCGGGGAUAACUGCGGGAAACCGUGGCUAAUACCGGAUAAUCCUCUCCACCGCGGGGCGGGGCGUUGAAAGAGGGUUUGGGCUGUAGCUGACGGUUGGGCCUGCGGCGCAUUAGCUGGUUGGCGGGGUAACGGCCCACCAAGGCAACGAUGCGUAGCCGACCUGAGAGGGUGAUCGGCCACACUGGGACUGAGACACGGCCCAGACUCCUACGGGAGGCAGCAGUAGGGAAUCUUCCGCAAUGGACGCAAGUCUGACGGAGCAACGCCGCGUGAGUGAAGAAGGGUUUCGGCUCGUAAACCUCUGUUGUUAAGGAAGAACGCCAGGUAGAGUAACUGCUACCUGUGUGACGGUACUUAACCAGAAAGCCACGGCUAACUACGUGCCAGCCGCCGCCGUAA